rnacentral:rRNA from 1 species
GGCUUAGAGUUUGAUCAUGGCUCAGGAUGAACGCUGGCGGCGUGCCUAACACAUGCAAGUCGAACGAAGCACUUUCUUUAGAUUCUUCGGAUGAAGAAGACUGUGACUGAGUGGCGGACGGGUGAGUAACGCGUGGGCAACCUGCCCUGUACAGGGGGAUAACAGUUAGAAAUGACUGCUAAUACCGCAUAAGCGCACGAGGACGCAUGUUCUUGUGUGAAAAACUCCGGUGGUACAGGAUGGGCCCGCGUCUGAUUAGGUAGUUGGUGGGGCAGCGGCCUACCAAGCCGACGAUCAGUAGCCGACCUGAGAGGGUGACCGGCCACAUUGGGACUGAGACACGGCCCAAACUCCUACGGGAGGCAGCAGUGGGGAAUAUUGCACAAUGGGGGAAACCCUGAUGCAGCGACGCCGCGUGAAGGAAGAAGUAUUUCGGUAUGUAAACUUCUAUCAGCAGGGAAGAAACUGACGGUACCUGACUAAGAAGCACCGGCUAAAUACGUGCCAGCAGCCGCGGUAAUACGUAUGGUGCAAGCGUUAUCCGGAUUUACUGGGUGUAAAGGGAGCGUAGACGGAGAGGCAAGUCUGAAGUGAAAGCCCGGGGCUCAACCCCGGGACUGCUUUGGAAACUGCAGUUCUAGAGUGCCGGAGAGGUAAGCGGAAUUCCUAGUGUAGCGGUGAAAUGCGUAGAUAUUAGGAGGAACACCAGUGGCGAAGGCGGCUCACUGGACGGUGACUGACGUUGAGGCUCGAAAGCGUGGGGAGCNAACAGGAUUAGAUACCCUGGUAGUCCACGCCGUAAACGAUGACUACUAGGUGUCGGUGAGCAAAGCUCAUCGGUGCCGCAGCCCACGNNCAUAGUAGUCCACCUGGGGAGU